AUGAAGGUCGGAGAGAGAGCUACGUGGGUGCACGCCAGCCACUGCAGGAGAGUUCCGCCCAUAUCGGAAGGGCAACAGGAGGAGGAGCCUCAGCAACAACAACAACAAGUUCAACAAUAAGCCCCAAGAUCGAGCCCAAACACCAAGUGCAAGAGCAAGGUCACUCAGGAGGAGUGAUAAGGCCGGUGUGCAGAGUAAAGCCAUUUGUGCAGCCACAACCAGAGACAUUGAUCAUUGCAAAGAGCUGCAAUCACUAGACAAGAUGGAUCGUUCAAGACCGUGGUACCCAUUCAGACUGCCAAGAAUGUGUGGACUUUGUAAGACUACAUUCAUUUUGACAUUGAUAAGUGAUGAAAUGAGGCAACUGAGGGACGCAGUCAUUCAAAACCGUUUAGUUCUUGAUAUGCUUACGGCAGAAAGGGGCGGAGUGUGUAAGAUGCUGGGGGUAUCUUGUUGUUUUAACAUUCCUGAUUACAGUGAUAAUAUAACCAACAUAAUUGAACACAUGAGAGAGGCCGUAAGAGAACCUGAGCGGACUGACAACCUGUGGGCCGGGUGGGUUAUGUCUUUGUGGGGAGGAUGGAUGUACUGGAUAAUUCAAACUGUUCUGCCAAUUGUAGUGAUAGGAAUUCUGAUUCUGUUUUGCUUGCCAUGCAUUAUGAGGUGUAUUUCCAGCUCAGUACAGAGAUUGGUCAGGGCUGGGACGCCCAUACAAGCAGUAAAACUGACCGCUUAUCCGAUAGAUAGUGAA